CAAUAGCGUAUAUUAAAGUUGUUGCAGUUAAAAAGCUCGUAGUUGGAUUUCUGGUGGGAGCGAUCGGUCUGGCGCUUAGCGCGAGUACUUGCAUCGUCUCCGGCCAUCCUUGGGGAGAGUCUGUCUGGCAUUAGGUUGUCGGGCAGAGGAUCCUCAUCGUUUACUGUGAAAAAAUUAGAGUGUUCAAAGCAGGCUUAUGCCGUUGAAUAUAUUAGCAUGGAAUAAUAAGAUAGGACUUUGGUACUAUUUUGUUGGUUUGCGCACCAAAGUAAUGAUUAAUAGGGACAGUUGGGGGUAUUCGUAUUCCGUUGUCAGAGGUGAAAUUCUUAGAUUUACGGAAGACGAACUACUGCGAAAGCAUUUACCAAGGAUGUUUNCAUUAA
rnacentral:rRNA from 1 species